GGAUCAAUGGAUCGCAACCUCCGUAUAUUUGGCCUGCCUGGGGAUGAUGGUCAAACAGAGUGAUGCAAUGUGUGCAAGUUGCUUGAUUUGGAAGUGGGCUCUUGAUAUUCCUUGAAGUUGCUUUUAUUGCUUCUGUUGGGCUGUACUGUUUUGGCUGAUGAAGCAAAUGGUAGAACUUGAUUUCUCAUCAAUUGUGCAGAGUUGACCCUUCACUCAAUUUUCUAUUAAUGAAGCCAUGUGACUAGGUGCAGGGUCACCUGGGAUUGAAGAAGUGAAAUUGAAUAGCUAGUCAGUCCUAUUGUAUUAAAUUGUCAUUGGGAUUUCCAGAAAAUAGACCUUGCAUUUAAUCUACACCUUGAGAUUUUGCUUGCUACUUCAAUUCAUAUCCUUCUAAAUUU
rnacentral:misc_RNA from 1 species